rnacentral:rRNA from 1 species
GUGAUAUGGAGCAAAACCCUAAAAAGACGGUCUCAGUUCGGAUUGAAGGCUGAAAUUCGCCUUCAUGAAGCUGGAAUUGCUAGUAAUGGCAGGUCAGCAUACUGCCGUGAAUACGUUCCCGGGCCUUGUACACACCGCCCGUCACACCAUGAGAGUUGGAAAUACCCGAAGCCUGUGAGCUAACGGUAAUGAGGCAGCAGUCGAAGGUAGAGCCAAUGAUUGGGGUGAAGUCGUAACAAGGUACC